UACGUAGGGUGCUAGCGUUGUCCGGAUUUAUUGGGCGUAAAGGGCUCGUAGGCGGCGUUGUCGCGUCGGGAGUGAAAGCCCGCUGCUUAACGGCGGGUUGGCUUCCGGUACGGGCAUCGCUGGAGUGCGGCAGGGGAGACUGGAAUUCCUGGUGUAGCGGUGAAAUGCGCAGAUAUCAGGAGGAACACCGGUGGCGAAGGCGGGGUCUCUGGGGCCGAUACUGACGCUGGAGGAGCGAAAGCGUGGGGAGCGAACAGG
rnacentral:rRNA from 1 species